UACGUAGGGUGCAAGCGUUAAUCGGAAUUACUGGGCGUAAAGCGUGCGCAGGCGGUUAUAUAAGACAGUUGUGAAAUCCCCGGGCUCAACCUGGGAACUGCAUCUGUGACUGUAUAGCUAGAGUACGGUAGAGGGGAUGGAAUUCCGCGUGUAGCAGUGAAAUGCGUAGAUAUGCGGAGGAACACCGAUGGCGAAGGCAAUCCCCUGGACCUGUACUGACGCUCAUGCACGAAAGCGUGGGGAGCAAACAGG
rnacentral:rRNA from 1 species